GAUUGCGUUGAUAAAGAUAGACGCUGCAGAUACUGGACAAGGUACUGUCGUACCAAUAGUUAUGUGAAGACAAACUGCAAAAAAACCUGCCGCCUUUGUCAGUAAAUGACAACAUGGCUAAUGAUGCAGUCUUUCACUUAAGAUGGAAUUGGGRAUUUCUUUCAUAAUCGGUGUUGGGACACACAAAACCACACAAAAUGUUCAAAUAGAUGUCUGAGUAGUUUAUUUUCAUCAAUAAUUUGUAUAGCUUAGCCUUGGGGAAAACAUCUUGGUUACAAAUAAAUUAAGGAAGAAUGUCA